rnacentral:rRNA from 1 species
UACGAAGGGUGCAAGCGUUACUCGGAAUUAUUGGGCGUAAAGAGCUCGUAGGCGGUUUGUCGCGUCGAAUGUGAAAACCCGGGGCUCAACCCCGGGCCUGCAUUCGAUACGGGCAGACUAGAGUUCGGUAGGGGAGUCUGGAAUUCCUGGUGUAGCGGUGAAAUGCGCAGAUAUCAGGAGGAACACCGGUGGCGAAGGCGGGACUCUGGGCCGAUACUGACGCUGAGGAGCGAAAGCGUGGGGAGCAAACAGG